rnacentral:rRNA from 1 species
UACGUAGGGCGCGAGCGUUGUCCGGAAUUAUUGGGCGUAAAGAGCUCGUAGGCGGUCUGUCGCGUCGGGAGUGAAAACUCAGGGCUUAACCCUGAGCCUGCUUCCGAUACGGGCAGACUAGAGGUAUGCAGGGGAGAACGGAAUUCCUGGUGUAGCGGUGGAAUGCGCAGAUAUCAGGAGGAACACCGGUGGCGAAGGCGGUUCUCUGGGCAUUACCUGACGCUGAGGAGCGAAAGUGUGGGGAGCGAACAGG